rnacentral:lncRNA from 1 species
GGAAAAUGCAAAUUAAAGUUGCAGCAUGGCAGCACACGACCACCAGAAAGGCUAAAAUUAAAAAAAGGUGGAUGAUGCAUGGUCCCCACUGACCCCCCUUCCUGGUACUCCUGUCCUUGUGGCGUCCCUCCCCUUGAGUAUGGGUGGGACCUAUGACUUGCUUCUAACCAAUAGAAUAUGGUGAAGGGGAUUGGACGUCACUUCCGUGUUUACAUCACAGAAGACCGUAACUUCCGUCUUGCCAGCCCAUUCUCUCUAAUGACUGUCUCCCUCGCUGGAUGUGAUGAAGUAGGCUACAUUAUGCAGCACCCCAUGAAACAAAGAAUUGAGUGUGACCACCAGGCAACAUCUGGCAAGGAACUGAGUUCCAACAGUGCACAAGGAAGUGAAUCCUGACAACAGUCCCAAGAGCUUAGGAGUGAAUCCUUCUCCACUCCAGCCUCAGAUAAGUCUUGCCCUUAAUUGCAGCCUCAUGAAAGACUCUGAAACCUUGGGCCCAGGUAACCCAUGCCAAGAUUCCUGACCUGCAGAAACUGUGGGUCAUCAAGCAUGUUCUUUCAAGUCUCUACAUGUGUAGUAAUUUGUUAUGCAGCUUUAGAUAACCAAGAGAUGGAACAAUUGGAACUGCCCUACAGUUACGGUGGGGCAUAAAAUGACACAAGCAUUUUGGAAAACAGUUGGGCAGUUUCUUAUAAAAUUAAACAGACACUUACCCUAACACCCAGCAUUGUGCUCUAGGUAUUUACCUAAGAAAAAUAAAACGUGUUUAUACAAAGACUUAUACAUGAAUAUUUAUAGCAGUUUUAUACAUAAUAGCCUACAAGUAGAAACAACUCAAAUGUCCAUCCAAAGACAAAUAACUAAAGUAUGGAAUAUUCAUACAGUAAAAUACUACUCAGCAAUCAAGAGGAAUGAGCCACUAACACAUUCAACAACAUCGAUGAAUGUCAAAAACGUCAUGUUGAGGAAAAGACCCCAGACAUAAAAGAAUAUAUUAUAUAUUAGUCCAUUUAUAUUAAACUCUAGAAAGCACAAAUCUAAUCUUUGAUCAUAGAAAAUAGAUCUGUGGUCAUCUAAAACUGGGGGUGUGAGGUCAGGAUUGACAGCAAAGGCUCACAAGCCUGACUUUUGGGGGUGGUGGGCAAGUUCUACAUCUUGAUUGUGACAGUAUUUACAAUCAACUGUCAAAACUCAUGGAGCUGUUCACUUAAAGUUGGUAAAUUAUAUUUUAUGUAAAUUUUUCCUUGAUAAAGUUUUUUUAAAUGAUCUCAAGGUGGAUUAAAGACUUAAACUGUAAAACUCCCAGGAGAAAACAUACAGAGGAUCCUUCAUUAUAUUGGUAUUGGCAGUGAUUUAUUGGAUAUGAUGCCAAAAGCACAGUACACAAAAACAAAAACAGAAUACAGCAACGGAACAAUUAACAGAGUGAAAAAGUAACCUGUGGAAUGGGAAAAUGGGAAUGCUGUUCUGCAUAGCAACGGAACAAUUGGCAGAGUGAAAAGGUGAAUGGAUAAAGACAAUAGGGUACAUAUGGACAAUGGAAUAUUAUUAAGCCUUAAAAAGAAGGAAAUCCUGCCAUAUGCAACAACUUGGAUGAAAGCGAGGACAUUAUAGCAAGUGACAUAUUUAGGACAAAUACUGCAUGAUGUCACUUAAAAAGUUUCUUGCAGCUUGGUGUGGUGGAUCUCACCUGUAAUCCCAGGACUUUGGGAGGCCGAGGCAAGAGGAUUGCUUGAGACCAGGAGAUGAAGACCAGCCUGGGCAACAUAAUGAGACCCUGUCUCCACAAAAAUAAAAUAAAAUAAAAUAAAGAUAAAAAUAAAAA